rnacentral:lncRNA from 1 species
GAUGUAACUGGCUGCUGAGCUGGCAGUUCUGUGUCGCUAGGCUUCGGCCGGGCAGCCGCCCCACAUAAGCUGCGAGGAGGAGCUUUACGACUUCCCGGUCUUCGGGGCCGGGCGCAGCAAGGGCCAGACUCUGCGCUAGCAGGCGCUGCCCGCCAACCGGCCGGCACCUGUCGCAGAAGGUGCAACCGAUCGCACUGUCGCGCAGAAGCUCCUCAAUGGCCAGCGCCAGCUGCAGCCCCGGCCGCCCACUCGCCUCACCUGAGCCUGGGAGUUUGAAAAAUCACAUUUGAGAAGAGGAUUGGAUCCUAGCCAUAACAUAAAUAUAAGGGUGGAACCAAAGUUUUAAUCAAAGAAGGUGAUGUUCAGUUGCUGCUUACGAUAGUUGAUACCCCAGGAUUUGGAGAUGCAGUGGAUAAUAGUAAUUGCUGGCAGCCUGUUAUCAAUUACAUUGAUAGUAAAUUUGAGGACUACCUAAAUGCAGAAUCACGAGUGAACAGAUGUCAGAUGCCUGGUAACAGGGUGCAGUGUUGUUUAUACUUCAUUGCUCCUUCAGGACAUGGACCAUUACAUAACUGAAGACUCCCACCUUCAGGCAGGAUUGGGUAGUACGUGUUUGUAACUACCUGGCAUUGCCUUUUGUUGAGGAAGGGUAGAUGUCUACCCAAAUGGAAUAUUGAGUAUCAGAGACUUCAAAUGAUAACUUUUGUUUGUUUGGAGAAAAUCUUGAGGACGUGAUCACUGUACAAAAGCAUGGCAAAAUGAGGAAACCACUGACAGGUGAAGAAUUUGCACAAUGGAAAACCACCUUGACCAUCUCAUGACUUUAUACAGGAAUCGGAGGUAAGUGUUCCUUUAAAGUGAUUUUGUCAUGAAAGAGUCAUCUGAAAUGACUCUCUUGAUGGAGGAAAGGAAAGUAAUGAAAUCAACAUUCAUGGUUAUUUAAAAUGCCUUAAAAGCUAAGCAUAAUAUACAUAGUAACUCCUUUUCCUAGUAUAAAAAUAGUGCCAGAAACUAUAUUUGUUCAAAUAUAUUGAAAAGGUAUAAGAAUACAAAUAGAUAU